rnacentral:rRNA from 1 species
GAUGAACGCUGGCGGCGUGCCUAAUACAUGCAAGUCGAGCGAACAGACGAGGAUCUUGCUCCUCUGACGUUAGCGGCGGACGGGUGAGUAACACGUGGAUAACCUACCUAUAAUACUGGGAUAACUUCGGGAAACCUGAUCUAAUACCGGAUAAUAUAUUGAACCGCAUUGUUCAAUAGUGAAAUACGGUUUUUCUGUCACUUAUAGAUGGUUCCGCGCCGCAUUAGCUAGUUGGUAAGGUAACGUCUUACCAAGGCAACGAUGCGUAGCCGACGUGAUAGGGGGAGAGGAAAAAGUGGAAGUGAGAAAGGGUCAAGACACGUACGGGAGGAAGAAGAAGGGAAUCUUCCGCAAUGGGCGAAAGCAUGACGGAGCAACGCCGCGUGAGUGAUGAAGGUCUUCGGAUCGUAAAACUCUGUUAUUAGGGAAGAAAAAAUGUGUAAGUAACUAUGCACGUAUUGACGGUACCAAAUCAGAAAGCAACGGCUAACUACGUG